UAGGGAAUCUUCCGCAAUGGGCGAAAGCCUGACGGAGCAACGCCGCGUGAGUGAUGAAGGUCUUCGGAUCGUAAAACUCUGUUAUUAGGGAAGAACAAAUGUGUAAGUAACUAUGCACGUCUUGACGGUACCUAAUCAGAAAGCCACGGCUAACUACGUGCCAGCAGCCGCGGUAAUACGUAGGUGGCAAGCGUUAUCCGGAAUUAUUGGGCGUAAAGCGCGCGUAGGCGGUUAGAUAAGUCUGAAGUUAAAGGCAGUGGCUCAACCAUUGUAGGCUUUGGAAACUGUUUAACUUGAGUGCAGAAGGGGAGAGUGGAAUUCCAUGUGUAGCGGUGAAAUGCGUAGAUAUAUGGAGGAACACCGGUGGCGAAAGCGGCUUUCUGGUCUGUAACUGACGCUGAGGCUCGAAAGCGUGGGGAGCGAACAGG
rnacentral:rRNA from 1 species